rnacentral:rRNA from 1 species
AUGAACGCUGGCGGCGUGCCUAAUACAUGCAAGUCGAGCGAACAGACGAGGAGCUUGCUCCUCGGACGUUAGCGGCGGACGAGUGAGUAACACGUGGAUAACCUACCUAUAAGACUGGGAUAACUUCGGGAAACCGGAGCUAAUACCGGAUAAUAUAUUGAACCGCAUGGUUCAAUAGUGAAAGACGGUUUUGCUGUCACUUAUAGAUGGAUCCGCGCCGCAUUAGCUAGUUGGUAAGGUAACGGCUGACCAAGGCGACGAUGCGUAGCCGACCUGAGAGGGGGAUCGGCCACACUGGAACUGAGACACGGUCCAGACUCCUACGGGAGGCAGCAGUAGGGAAUCUUCCGCAAUGGGCGGAAGCCUGACGGAGCAACGCCGCGUGAGUGAUGAAGGUCUUCGGAUCGUAAAACUCUGUUAUUAGGGAAGAACAAAUGUGUAAGUAACUAUGCACGUCUUGACGGUACCUAAUCAGAAAGCCACGGCUAACUACGUG